rnacentral:rRNA from 1 species
AGCGAACGCUGGCGGCAGGCUUAACACAUGCAAGUCGAGGGGAGCGGCAGACGGGUGAGUAACGCGUGGGAACGUACCUUUUGGUUCGGAACAACACAGGGAAACUUGUGCUAAUACCGGAUACCGAAAGAUCGGCCCGAGUCUGAUUAGCUAGUUGGUAGGGUAAUGGCCUACCAAGGCGACGAUCAGGAGCUGGUCUGAGAGGAUGAGCAGCCACAUUGGGACUGAGACACGGGCCAAACUCUUACGGGAGGCAGCAUGGGGGAAUCUGGGACUAGGGGGGCAACCCUGAACCAGCCAGGCCGCGUGAGUGAUGAAGGUCGUAGGGUUGGAAAGCUCUUUUGUGCGGGAAGCGGUACCGCAAGAAUAAGCCCCGGCUAACUUCGUGCCAGCAGCCGCGGUAAUAC